UACGUAGGUGGCAAGCGUUGUCCGGAUUUAUUGGGCGUAAAGCGCCCGCAGGCGGCCCGCCAAGUUUCAGGUGAAAUCUCCCGGCUUAACUGGGAGGGGUCCUGGAAAACUGGCAGGCUUGAGGCAGGGAGAGGGAUGCGGAAUUCCUAGUGUAGCGGUGAAAUGCGCAGAUAUCAGGAAGAACACCAAUGGCGAAGGCAGCUCUCUGGGACGGUACUGACGCUGAGACGCGAAAGCGUGGGGAGCGAACAGG
rnacentral:rRNA from 1 species